rnacentral:rRNA from 1 species
UACGGAGGGUGCAAGCGUUGUCCGGAAUCAUUGGGCGUAAAGAGCGCGUAGGCGGCCAGAUAAGUCCGGUGUGAAAGUCACAGGCUCAACCUGUGAAUGCCGCUGGAAACUGUCUGGCUAGAGUCCGGAAGGGGCGAGUGGAAUUCCUGGUGUAGCGGUGAAAUGCGCAGAUAUCAGGAGGAACACCAAUAGCGAAGGCAGCUCGCUGGGACGGUACUGACGCUGAGGCGCGAAAGCGUGGGGAGCAAACAGG